UUGUGCGAUCAUACCAGCACUAAUGCACCGGAUCCCAUCAGAACUCCGAAGUUAAACGUGCUUGGGCGAGAGUAGUACUAAUAUGGGUGACCUCUUGGGAAGUCCUCGUGUUGCACCCC
rnacentral:rRNA from 1 species